ACAAGCGGUGGAGCAUGUGGUUAAUUCGACGCAACGCGAAGACCUUACCAGGGCUUGACAUCCCCUGACCGCGUAUGAAAGUACGUUUUCACCCUCGGGUGACAGGGAGACAGGUGGUGCAUGGUUGUCGUCAGCUCGUGUCGUGAGAUGUUGGGUUAAGUCCCGCAACGAGCGCAACCCCUACGUUUAGUUGCUAACGCGUGAAGGCGAGCACUCUAGACGAACUGCCGUUGACAAAACGGAGGAAGGUGGGAUGACGUCAAAUCAUCAUGCCCCUUAUGUUCUGGGCUACACACGUGCUACAAUGGCCGGUACAGACGGACGCAAAGCCGCGAGGCGGAGCAAAUCCGAAAAAGCCGGUCUCAGUUCGGAUUGCAGGCUGCAAUUCGCCUGCAUGAAGUCGGAAUCGCUAGUAAUCGCAGGUCAGCAUACUGCGGUGAAUACGUUCCCGGGCCUU
rnacentral:rRNA from 1 species